AAUGAACGCUGGCGGCGUGCAUAACACAUGCAAGUCGAACGAGAAAGGCUUAACUUUCGGGUUGGCCGAGCAAAGUGGCGCACGGGUGAGUAACGCGUAGGCAACCCACCCUUGUGUUCGGGAUAACACUGCGAAAAGGGUGCGAAUGCCGGACGUGACAUUUGGCCGGGAGUGUAGCUGUCAAGGGGAGCCUCUGUACAUACAAGCUUCCGCACGCGUAGGGGCGUUCGUCCUAUCCGCUAGUGGGUAGGGUAACGGCCUACAAAGGCUACGACGGGUAGCUGGUCUGAGAGGAUGAUCAGCCACACUGGCACUGGAACACGGGCCAGACGCCUACGGGAGGCAGCAGUGAGGAAUUUUGCGCAAUGGGCGCAAUCCUGACGCAGCAACGCCGCGUGGGUGAUGAAGGCCUUCGGGUCGUAAAGCCCUGUCGGGUGGGAAGAACAUCCUUUGGUCAAGUAGAUUGAAGGAGUGACGGUACCACCAAAGGAAGCACCGGCUAACUCCGUGCCAGCCGCCGCCGUAAGAC
rnacentral:rRNA from 1 species